GUUUGGGUAGAUUAUUUAGAUUGCGGUGCUGUUAACCCCGAGGAGGGUAAACCCCCCCAGGCG
rnacentral:tRNA from 1 species